UUUCCGUAGGUGAACCUGCGGAAGGAUCAUUAACACGAACAAAAUGUUCCAAAACCUUUUUGGAUCAACGCCAACCUUUGAAAAGGCGAACCUAGUUGUAUUUUUCUCCUUUUUCUAUUUCGUUUUUCUCAAACGCAACUUCUCAUGGAAAUUGACUAGAAUCGUGUGAUUUGUUCCAAUCCUAUCACCUCUUUCUCCUCUCCUCGUGAGAUGAGAUGGGAUGUGAGAUGGGAGAUGGGGGGUGGGUUUGGAACUAACCAUUCCUAACGCUAAAACAACUCUUAACAACGGAUAUCUUGGCUCUC
rnacentral:misc_RNA from 1 species